GUGCUCACUUCAGCAGCACAUACACUAAAAUUGGAAUGACAUAGAGAAGACUAGCAUGUGCCCUGCGUAAGGAUGAUACACAAAUUUGUGAAGCACUCCAAAUUAAA